AAUUUUAUAGUUUAUUAAAAUAUUAAAUUGCAAAUUUAAAGAUAUUAUUUAAAUUAAAAUUU
rnacentral:tRNA from 1 species